AUGCAUGUUKAGGGAAUAANAACGGACAGCUCAGUAAAACUGUGAUGAUUUAGUCUAAUAGAGAAAGAGAACUUCGUGAAAAUGAAGCUAGAAGGAUUAGAAUAAGACGCAGACCUAUCAGUUAGUUGGUAGUGUAAUGGACUACCAAGACGAUGACGGGGACGGGGAAUGAGGGUUUGAUACCGGAGAGGGAGCCUGAGAGAUAGCUCCCACGUCCAAGGACGGCAGCAGGCGCGAAAAUUGCCCACUCUUAGUAGGAGGCAGUUAAGAGACGUGAAUAAGAAGAGCCAGUAAAGAGGGGUAAGUAAGAAUUGGAGGGCAAGUUUGGUGCCAGCAGCCGCGGUAAUACCGACUCCAAGAGUGUGUGAGAGAGAUGCUGCAGUUAAAAAGUCCGUAGUCGUAGAGGUAGAAAGAAUAAGGAUAUUGGAUAGGAAUAGAGGAGCCGAUGGGGAUGACAGUAUAGCAGGGCGAGAGAUGAAAUGCCAAGACCCCUGGUGGACUAAGCGAGGCGAAAGCGGUGAUCUAGUAGGAGUUUGAUGAUCAAGGACGAAGGCCGGAGGGAUCGAAAGUGAUUAGAUACCGCAGUAGUUCCSGCAGUAAAAGAUGCCGACAAUUUGACGGGGGGGAGAGCCGUUGAAAGGGAGAAAUUGUAGAGUUCGGGCUCUGGGGAUAGUAUGCUCGCAAGAGUGAAAAUUAAAGAAAUUGACGGAGCUACACCACAAGGAGUGGAUUGUGCGGCUUAAUUUGACUCAACGCGAGGAAACUUACCAAAGGCAAGCAGUGUGUAGAGAAGAGCAUUAUGGAAGUGGUGCAUGGUCGUUGGAAAUUGAUGGGAUGACUUUGGCCUUAAAUGGUUGAAUGAGUGAGAUCUUUAGACAAGUCAGAUAUAGGACAGGAGGAAAGAGGCGAUAACAGAUCAGAGAUGCCCUNAGAUGCGUUGGGCAGCACGCGCAAUACAAUAGCAAGCAAGGAAAUAGAGGAGGGGAGAAGAAUAAGAUGGAUUGUAGUCUGUAAGGACGACAUGAAAGAGGAAUUCCUAGUAAGUAUGUAUCAACAAUGGGUAUUGAAUGAGUCCCUGUAGCUUGUACACACCGCCCGUCACUAUCUCAGAUGUUUUUCAGGAUGAAGAGUCUAGGCUCUGAAUAAUGAAAAGUAGAUAAGAUGUAAGUCGUAACAAGGUUGCGGUCGGUGAACCAGCCGCAGGAUCAUAA
rnacentral:rRNA from 1 species